ACCUCGGUUGAAGAUAUUCUUUUAUGUAUGAAACGAAAUGUUGAUUGUCCGCUAUUGCAAGAGGCAACUCAGCACCAACAACAAGUUUCACCAUUUUCGGUCAAACAUUCUCCUCUGAAUACAUCUAUGUGGUGAGGGACGAAGUCAUAGAAUCGACACCCGGAAUACCAAAUUGUACUUGUGUUUGAUCGGUUUGAAGAAGUCCAUGUUUGAUCGCACACGUUUUAUAUUGAUGUUUGAGAUGAGUGGUACCAAUACCUUUUUACCAUGCCAAUCGUUGUAGACAAUAUUUACAUACUUUUUUGGACUCUAGG
rnacentral:lncRNA from 1 species